rnacentral:rRNA from 1 species
GGAGGGUGCAAGCGUUGUUCGGAAUUAUUGGGCGUAAAGCGCGUGUAGGCGGUUAUCUAAGUCUGAUGUGAAAGCCCGGGGCUUAACCCCGGAAGUGCAUUGGAUACUGGAUAACUAGAGGACGAGAGAGGGAAGUGGAAUUCCUGGUGUAGGGGUGAAAUCCGUAGAUAUCAGGAGGAACAUCGGAGGCGAAGGCGGCUUCCUGGCUCGUAACUGACGCUGAGACGCGAAAGCGUGGGUAGCAAACAGGGAUUAGAUACCCUGGUAGUCCACGCCCUAAACGAUGGAUACUAGUUAUCGGGAUACCCUAAUAGUCUCGGCGGCGUAGCUAACGCAUUAAGUAUCCCGCCUGGGGAUUACGGUCGCAAGAUUA